AAGAGGAGCAAAAUAGUCCUUCAUCAGUACUAAAAGCUAUCUUGAAGCUCUUAUUAAACUGCCAGUGCAGAUAGUCUCCACUUCUACUAUUUUGUUACAACACUUUGAAACUAUAAUCUGCACACAGCAAGGAAUGUGAAUGCCUGUGCUACAUCAGUUGUGUAAAAUAGCAUUCAUUUCUUUUUCUAGAGAAGUACUGUUAGCAGUAUUCUAAGUAGUACAUGCUCUCCCAGUUUGAUUAAAGUGCUAUUCUCAAAUGUAAAGCCUCUUUCAGUGUUUCAGUAGGACAGACUGCUCCAGAAUGUGUCAUGAUUUGACUGAAGUUUACUGAAAGAAGUAGCAAGCAGAAAAGUCAGCUAGCACACAAAUAGACUUGUGCCCUUCAAACUAAUGAGCUUACCAGUGGCAUUCUCUGGAAUUGGUGCUCUUUUGGAAUUGCGAGGAACUUUUAUACCAGUUGUAUGUUGUUGUGCUUAAAGUGUUUCUAUGGAACUGAUUUUCUGACCAGGCUGUGUCAUGGAAAGGAAAUGUAACUUGAGGAAGUACAGCUGUGGUGGAGGAACACGUGUGCUAGGCCCUAAGACCUGACUCUUGUAACAAGAACUAGAACAACAAAGACAAGAGAAGGAAAUUAAGGAAAGAAGGAUGACUCACAACUUGUAUAUUGAAGAUCACAUUCAGAAAUGGUGACAAGGAAGCUAUGAACAAAUCAAGAUUGAAAAAAAAGAAAAGAAAAAACAGCAUUUAUGCCAGGAAAACUCAAUUGUUUGAGUGCUCAUGGAAAAGAAAUGCAAGAGCUGCCUUGGUAUCACUAAAGCAAGUUCACUGAAAAAUAGGACACUUUGAGAAGGACUCAGAAACAGCAUUUGGAAUGGAGAACUCAAACUGCACUGUAGGCCGAACUAAUGCCUGAUAUUUAAGUAUAGGGGAGAUGUGGAGUUCUGAAGCUGAAAUUGAGAAGCCUGGAUCUGACAUGGAAUGUAAAGGAAUGACAAAACUGGAUGCCAAGAGGCAUUUUCAGCAGCAGUAUUGCCAGGACACUGAAGAAACCAGAGAGAAAAGCAGGAAAAUGGGAAAUGUCAAAAGUCUCUACCGUGGUCUCAGGAUCAGAGAGAGGAAGGAUGUUUCAGAGAACAAUCUGAAAGGGAAACGUGAGAUUUGGCAGCAGGUUAGCUAAGGAAGAAAUAGGCAGAAGAAAGUUUGAAAGAAGAGAAAAGCAUCUAACAAAGUUAUAAAUGUAUUUUUAGCUUGUUGGCUGGAAUUGAUAAGGCCCACCUUCAGUUGUACUGCUGGGACUGGAAACUGGGAGUACAGCCAGUGGUAAGAAGAGAUUUAGAUCACCUAAAGACACAUAGGACUUUCGGAAAUGUUGAGAGUAUGUGAUGUCAUUUAGAUGACAGAGACAACAGGCACAGAGCUUCCCUCAAGGCUGCAGGAGAAGGAAUUUUGUCUUUUAUCAGCUUAUUCAAUGAGAUGGAGUUGUGGAAAGAGGAGCUGCUACAUUAAAGAUUCUGUGAAGAUGAGAUUUGGAUUCUGUCAGUGUCUCCUUGGUCAUUUUGAUAAAGCUAGUUUCAGUGAAGGAAAGGGAAAGGUAUGCUGUCUAUUCAAAGGGACUAGAAUUAGUAGAGCAACAGGCAUAACUACUACACAAACCUCUGAAAUCAAAGUUUGGAGAGAGGUUCACAGGAACAGGUUUGGUAGCAAAGAUGAGAGGUGGAAAGUGAAAGAAGAGUCAGCUUGGGGAGUACUGUAGGCUGUCUCUACUGUAAGAUAAAUUCACAGCAAGCCCAGUAUGUCUAAGCAGUAUGAAUGAGCUUGUAUUUUAAUGCCCAAGAGGUGAGGGAAAAAAUAAAUUUCCUUUGGUUGAGAAGACAAAAAGUGGCUUCUUUCAUCCACCUGAGAAGGAGUAGGGCUGCAGGCACGGUAGACAAGAAGUCAGAUGCUGUGGCAUGCCAACUGCCAAGACACCUAGCAAGUCUGUCUUUCCUUGUCCUCCUGUGUUGUUUUUUUAUCACCCUGCUGGUCUGCAAGGUUAUAUGCUGCUUCUUUUUUUCCCCCAUCCUGAUUACUGCUUGCUUUGCUAAUAAGGGAAUAAUGAUGAGGAAGUAUGUCAUACAAAUUGUUAGACAAAGAUAAGGAUGGCUACAGGGAUAGCGCCAACUGAGAAGGCAGCAACAGUGAAAUUGACUGUUUUUAGUAAUCACAUGAGAAGAAAUACAUGCUUUUGUUUUCAGAGUAAACAUUUUACUGUCUAGAUGGAAAAGUCCAGCAGCCAAAGUUGUUAUUACAAGCUGAUUUAAAGACACAGGUGAGGAAGUACUUGAAGAUAUUUGUUUGCUUCGUGUUGGCUUUAUAAGAUGUGGCUUACUGGUUUCUGAAGGCUUGAAAAUGUCUUGCAGUUUUUCAUGUUGACUGGUAAAUCCUUUUGUGCCUAGAGUGCCAUCCCCUCAUAGAGUCACUGUUCAUAAUACUGAACUAUGACUGUAUAUGAGAAGGAUGGUUGUACAAUCAGAGGGUCUGAAAAACUGCUAUGUCUGUUGUUCUUAAUACUCUUAAGGCUUUAUAAUGCACUGUAUUUUCUGAACUGAUGCAAGAACAAGCCUUUGAUGAUAGAAAAACUGAAGUUUAUAGUACAGAAGGAAGUGUGAAUUGAUUUUGCCAAUUUGGGAAAUGAAAUAGGUAGUACAGAAGUUCUUAGACCCACUUUCCCAGUUGAAAAGCACUUAGGUAAAACUGGACAAAAAGCCAGAGGAGAACUAAGUGAAAUUUCACACUCAGUGAGAUGCCUCACGUCUGAGCAACCAGCCAGACCUUAGUGUUUUAAUAUCCCUAAUCUAUUCUGUGCUUUAAUGAGAUCUUGAGCUAUUGGCUCUGAAGAUUAUUAGUGCCCUGGUGAAUAGCCAUUCAAUCUUCAGGCAUGUGAUGAGAAUUUGCUUCCUCUUUCAAUCCUUCAGCUUCUUGGCUAGAAUUUAUUAUUUCCCUAAAUAAAAGCAGCUGCAAAAUUUCAUUAGGUGUUAUAGUACCCCUUUCUGCUGUAUUUAACCUUGUCUCAUUAAAUAGAUUACAUCCUUGCCUCUUGUAAUUAAGUGCAAAUCAAACACAAUAUUUUAAUAUUAUAUUAAAAAUGUAAGAAAUAGGACGCCUUUUCAGCUGCCAUUCUGAAAUUCCUGAAGGCAGGAGUGCUACUUUGACAGUGACAAAUUCUUCCAGAAACAUCUGGUCUAUAAAGUACAUUUUCU
ensembl:lncRNA